CUGCCGCGUGUGUGAAGAAGGCCUUCGGGUGUAAAGCACUUUCGGACCGGAACGAAAUCGCGCGGGCUAACACUCCGCGUGGAUGACGGUACCGGAAGAGAAGCACCGGCUAACUACGUGCCAGCAGCCGCGGUAAUACGUAGGGUGCGAGCGUUAAUCGGAAUUACUGGGCGUAAAGUGUGCGCAGGUGGCCGCGCAAGUCGAGUGUGAAAGCCCCGGGCUUAACUUGGGAAUUGCGCUCGAAACUACGUGGCUAGAGUGUGGCAGAGGAAGGUGGAAUUCCACGUGUAGCGGUGAAAUGCGUAGAGAUGUGGAGGAACACCGAUGGCGAAGGCAGCCUUCUGGGCCAACACUGACGCUCAUGCACGAAAGCGUGGGGAGCAAACAGGAUUAGAUACCCUGGUAGUCCACGCCCUAAACGAUGAUGACUAGUUGUUGGGGGAGUUAAAUCCCUUAGUAACGCAGCUAACGCGUGAAGUCAUCCGCCUGGGGAGUACGGUCGCAAGAUUA
rnacentral:rRNA from 1 species